rnacentral:rRNA from 1 species
AGAACGAACGCUGGCGGCAUGCCUAACACAUGCAAGUCGAACGAGACCUUCGGGUCUAGUGGCGCACGGGUGCGUAACGCGUGGGAAUCUGCCCUUGGGUUCGGAAUAACAGUUGGAAACGACUGCUAAUACCGGAUGAUGACGUUAAGUCCAAAGAUUUAUCGCCCAGGGAUGAGCCCGCGUAGGAUUAGCUAGUUGGUGAGGUAAAGGCUCACCAAGGCGACGAUCCUUAGCUGGUCUGAGAGGAUGAUCAGUCACACUGGAACUGAGACACGGUCCAGACUCCUACGGGAGGCAGCAGUGGGGAAUAUUGGACAAUGGGCGAAAGCCUGAUCCAGCCAUGCCGCGUGUGUGAAGAAGGUCUUCGGAUUGUAAAGCACUUUAAGUUGGAGGAAGGCAGUAAGCGAAUACCUUGCUGUUUUGACGUUACCGACAGAAUAAGCACCGGCUAACUCUGUGCCAGCAGCCGC